UACGUAGGGUGCGAGCGUUGUCCGGAAUUACUGGGCGUAAAGAGCUCGUAGGUGGUUUGUCGCGUCGUCUGUGAAAUCCCGGGGCUUAACCUCGGGCGUGCAGGCGAUACGGGCAUAACUUGAGUGCUGUAGGGGAGACUGGAAUUCCUGGUGUAGCGGUGAAAUGCGCAGAUAUCAGGAGGAACACCAAUGGCGAAGGCAGGUCUCUGGGCAGUAACUGACGCUGAGGAGCGAAAGCAUGGGUAGCGAACAGG
rnacentral:rRNA from 1 species